rnacentral:tRNA from 1 species
GUUGAAGCUUAGUGGUAGAGCACUUGCCUUACACGUAUGAGGCACUGGGUUCAAUCCUCAGCACAACA